rnacentral:rRNA from 1 species
UACGUAGGUGGCAAGCGUUGUCCGGAUUUAUUGGGUUUAAAGGGUGCGUAGGCGGUCUGUCGCGUCGGCUGUGAAAACCCGGAGCUCAACUCCGGGCCUGCAGUCGAUACGGGCAAACUGGAGUGUUGCAGGGGAGACUGGAAUUCCUGGUGUAGCGGUGAAAUGCGCAGAUAUCAGGAGGAACACCGGUGGCGAAGGCGGGUCUCUGGGCAACAACUGACGCUGAGGAGCGAAAGCGUGGGGAGCGAACAGG